AGUAAAACAGACUAAAUCUGUAUGUGUUUCUUGUCCUGGGUCUUUUUUUUUAAAUUCAGCAUUGAGGCCUGGAAAGGAAUUGGGGAAAUCUACCAACAAGACGUUGCCAUUGGGUCAGUGGUUCAGAAAUUGUGUUGGUGGCUUCCCAUCUCCUCAACACCCGACAAAACCCAUCAAACUUUAACUCUGGGAUCCUUGACUCACCACUUAAAAUAGGUAUCAGUCAUCAAGUUCAGAACAGCUGCUAAAUUAGAAAAAAUCCUCAAUUACAACAACAGUUAUGAUGCCACAGAUCUUAACUCUCAUUUUGAUCCACCUUUUAAUUUCCAUUUGAGUCUAAUAACCUUUCUUUUCUUUUCUUUUCUUUUCUUUUUUUUCAGUUUCUUUCUAAGUUACUCAUUUAAAUGGAUGUGAAAGUAACCUGCGUGUGUAUGUGUGUGUAAAGGGAGAUCAGAUCAGAGAAAACAGGCCACACACACAAACAGAAGACUGCUUGCUGGCUUUUCGAACCGUAUGGAGGUGGCUGGAGUGGCAAUUCUUGUCUCCCUGCGGGAAGCCCUCCUCCAGAAAGCAGGAAGGAAGUGACUGGCUGAGCUGUGAGGUGAGCAAGGAUCUCAGUGUGAACAUGGGCCCACUGUCGCCUUCGAUCACCAGAGGCCUCCCUCUGCCUAGCUUCAGAGGUCUCUGUGCUUGGGAGCAUGUGGGGGCCUGGAAGCAACCGACUUCCUGGUGAGGGAACCUUCGCAGACUCACAUCCGGAGAUCCCGGAGCCAGAGCUGCUGUCUGUGCUUCAAUGACUUCUGCAGGCCCUGCAUACGUCACAGGAGAGCCAUCAUCUACCAGGAUCAUCCCAAACUGAAUAGACUGCAGGCAGAGGGAAUGCUGUGGAGAAGGCAAGCUCUCCAGUGAUUUAGUGGUACCUACACAGCUCCUGUCAGUAUUCUGAGGUUAAGGGGUCUGUGUUGUAUUUCUUUGGUAUUCCUACAUAGCGCGCAGGUUCUGGACACAUGCUAGGUGUUCACUAAAGGUUUGCUAAAUAAAUGAAUCACUAAACAGAGUAAAUAGUCAUUCAAACAACUUGUAUGGCCAUUGUGUAAAAUUGUAUAUCAAUAUUAACAAAACCUCGAAGGAAAUUAGGAA